CCCUUAGAUGUUCUGGGCCGCACGCGCGCUACACUGAUACAUUCAACGAGUUUCUUCCUGGUCCGAGAGGAAUGGGUAACCUUUUGAAAGUGCAUCGUGAUAGGGAUAGACUAUUGCAAUUAUUGGUCUUCAACGAGGAAUUCCUAGUAGACGUAGUUCAUCAGACUGCAUCGAUUACGUCCCUGCCCUUUGUACACACCGCCCGUCGCUCCUACCGAUUGAGUGGUCCGGUGAGGCUUUGGGAUCUGAGCGGAAAGAGCGUUUCGCUGUUUCUGCUCGGAAAACUCAGUCGAACCUUAUCAUUUAGAGGAAGGAGAAGUCGUAACA
rnacentral:rRNA from 1 species